CCCCCGAUAAACUUCUGACGCAAUUACUGAUUGAGUUCACAGCCCCAGCUCAAAUUUUAGUUGGUGAUUACAACUGGCAACGUAUCAAACACAGAAUUGUGGUAAAGGCUGCCUUAGAGAAUGGCUUAAAGAGCCCAGACGGUAAAAAACACGGCGAUGGUAUGCCAAUAAUGUCACCGCAGUUACAGCCCAGAGCUGAACAGUGCGGACUUACAAUUUUGCGUAGAAGUCACAAAACUCUUUGUAGAGUUUAAUGUCACUGUGCCUACGCUGCAGUUUCGACACUGGUUUCUCGCCUUCAUUUCCCGUUGAGUUGUAAGCAUUGUGAGAGAGCCUGUGAGCGAUCUCUUCAUCCUCCGGGAUCGCGUAGGGGUGACCUCUGCGCUGGAAGUCCAUGUUCCUCUAGCUGCUAUCACGGGCUGCUAACUGAAGUGCCAAGUAUGCUAUAAUAGGCAGCAGAUGAAGGCACUGAAAUGGAGCUUGAUUUUCAGCACUGUGCUGCGUUUACAACAGUCACCCAACACAAGGGUGCUCCGUAGAUUUGAACACUGAAGUAAUGCACUGUGGAUAUCAAGAAAGCGAGAAAGCAAGACCAGGAAGAAAGAAGCAAGAGUGAAAAUUAAUCAUUCCUUCGCCACAGAAAGGCCUCCCAGUGUUGCAGUUAUUUUAUAGUCACGCUCUCUUCAAAAACCUGUAGUGCAUUCCUUACUGGGAAAGGCUGACCAAGACCCUGUGUACCUUCACCAGUAGCUCAGGGUAACCCCUAGGUGCCAUGGACCAGGGAGUGAGGAGUCACCAGGCCAGGAAGGGCUGCUGGCAUUCCCUGGGGCUGGAUCAAGACCUACCUGCCUUGGUAGGGAGAGCAAGGAGAAGGCCAGUGUUGAAUUGGAGGAGGAAAAACUGCUUUCUCAGGAGAACCUUCCUGGCUUCCCGCUGGUGCCAGCAGACAGGGACUCUUACAGAGAAGGCUGGGAGGCUGCAAGCCCUGCUGAGUGCCUUGCUCCAUUCCCCAAAUAGAAGUGCUCAGCAGUCACUGCUCCAAACAAGGUGCUUGGCAAAGGCAGCUGUUACUUGGCAGUCUGCCUGGUGCCCCGAAAUAACGCUGCUGGCUGAGAGUGAACCUGCUGCAUCACCACUGCUUUCAGGAAACCAAGCACCCCAUCGGGAUGGAUAAGCAAACAGAACACAGUCCUCCCCUUCCUACAGAG
ensembl:lncRNA